AAAUGAUGAUAGUGAUGAUGAUAGUAAUGAUGAUGAUGAUGAUAAUCAUCAUCAUCAACAUCAUCAUCAUCAUCAUCAUCAUCAUCAUCAUCAUCA
rnacentral:pre_miRNA from 1 species